rnacentral:lncRNA from 1 species
AAAAAAUUAAAAUUAAAAUAUUUUGUUUUAGAGGAGGAGGGUGCUAAACAUUGUAUUUUGUUUAUUUACAGGAUAAGGCCAUUCAAUUGAGUAUAAUAUGUAGCUAUUCCGCAAGCUUCCUUACUGUAACGAGGUACAGAGAUUUGCUGCAGUAAGAUCUGUUUCGCGCUCUUUGAGAGAUUUUAAAAUAUGUUUCUAUUGCAACAAUCCCACAAAUCCCAAACAAGAACUUUGGUCUUUGGCAAAGAAGCAUCA